UGGGGAAUCUUCCGCAAUGGACGAAAGUCUGACGGAGCAACGCCGCGUGAGUGAUGACGGCCUUCGGGUUGUAAAGCUCUGUUAAUCGGGACGAAAGGCCUUCUUGCGAAUAGUUAGAAGGAUUGACGGUACCGGAAUAGAAAGCCACGGCUAACUACGUGCCAGCAGCCGCGGUAAUACGUAGGUGGCAAGCGUUGUCCGGAAUUAUUGGGCGUAAAGCGCGCGCAGGCGGAUUGGUCAGUCUGUCUUAAAAGUUCGGGGCUUAACCCCGUGAUGGGAUGGAAACUGCCAAUCUAGAGUAUCGGAGAGGAAAGUGGAAUUCCUAGUGUAGCGGUGAAAUGCGUAGAUAUUAGGAAGAACACCAGUGGCGAAGGCGACUUUCUGGACGAAAACUGACGCUGAGGCGCGAAAGCCAGGGGAGCGAACGGGAUUAGAUACCCCGGUAGUCCUGGCCGUAAACGAUGGGUACUAGGUGUAGGAGGUAUCGACCCCUUCUGUGCCGGAGUUAACGCAAUAAGUACCCCGCCUGGGGAGUACGACCGCAAGAUUG
rnacentral:rRNA from 1 species